GGGAAGGAGGGAGACAGAGACAGAGACAUAGAGAAGGGUGGAGAAAGAGUGCUUUUGAGUUUGGUCUGAAAAUCUCAGCACAGCUUUGCUCGUGAGCUUUCCGAUAUUUCUGCUGUGGGCCUGGCUAGAAACCUUGUGAGAACACCCUUUCAUUUGGUAUUUGAGCCCUUAUGCCUCCUUCCUGGCUGCAGACCAGAAGGAAUGAAAGCAACUGAGCAUUUCAGAGCUUUAGAAUAGGGAAGCAAAACUGGCUAUAUUUUUGGUUCUAAAAAGGACCCACCCAAACCUGGCUCUUAAUGUUCUCCUUGAUCCAUCCCUAGUGACAGCUACAAGAACUUAGAAACAUUUGGAGAACAAUUUCCUAAAAACAGAUAGUUAGAAGCAAAGAAAACAUUCAGCCAAAAUAGUUAAAAUGUAGGUAUCCAGUCACAAUAGUUAAAGGCUAGACCUAACAAACAUGCGUUCUGCUGCAAUGUGAAGUAUUUGAAAGACUGUCUUUAAGUUCACUGCGGCAUAUCUGCUCUAGAAUCCUAACCUACUUGGUCCAUUUCUAGUUGGAUGACUAGGACAUAUUUGUAAGGCUGAGUCUCCUAUAUGAGUGAAUCAGAGGAAGUGAAAAAUAAUUAUACUCAAACUAGAUCCUUAUAAAGAGUGCAGUAUUUAAAAAAAAAUUUAAAUGUAUAUUUCUUAUGUCCAGAGAGAUGACCCAGCAGUCAUCUCUCUUAAAAUCACUUAUUGUUAUUAUAGAUGACCUGUGUUUAAUUCCUAACAUCCAUACCAGGAAGCUCACCACUACCUAUAACUCCAAUUCCAGGGGAUCUAAAAGACCUGCUCUGGUGUCUAUGGGUACUAUCUACACAUGGUGCACAUGUAGUUAAGCAAAUACACAAACAUAUAUAAAUAAAAAUAAAUCAAAUUAUAAAAUGUUUAGUUUCUAAGAUACUAUGGAAACUAGUGAAUCACUGUUGGUAGGAGUUUGAUUGUUACCAUCAAACACCCCUGGACUGCCCUCUCUGCUCCCCUUUCUAGCUCUGAUGUGUAUGUGUCAGGUAGACUCUUCUACCUGUCAUUUCAUUAUCUGUGGUAAUGGAAUAGAUAGAGUUAUCAGAAGAAGGAAAUGAAGGCAAGCUUGUAAAAUGUUUGACCUAUAACCAGUGCCAAAAUUAACCACUGGCUAUUAAUACAUUAUAAAAUGAUGACAAUAAUGAAGUUGCAUAUUUUAUAGUCAUAAUAGAGGCAAUCUCUGAGAGACCUCAGAACGGUUCUUCGGUAGACUUAGUAACACGUGACGUUCAGAAUCCUUUGGGUUAACAUGAGAGCAAUGCCGGCUACCUUGGCCAGAUCCAAAGUAUGCAUUUAGCUCAAAGGAAAGAUCCCACGAGGGCCGAGGUGUAAAUGGAAGAAGGGGAGGUAGGAAAUCCUCACUGUGCUAAGGCCAUGUACGAAGUCCUGUUGGCCUUGGCAAGUGCUAACAUCUAUUUUUUACCAGUAAAGAGAGGAAGGUGGGAAGGUGUAAAUAUUUGCAAAGACCAAAAUAAAAUCACUAUGGGAUUAAUACACUAAACUCAUGCCCUCUUAUAUCCAAAGUAGCAGCACAUUGCUUCUGAUAUUUAUUCUUAUAUUAGAGAUCGGAUGCUGUUGUCUUAAAGAUACACAGUCAUUGGAAAAAUGCCAGAUGGCUCAAAACAUGACUCGUAUCUUACGUUAUAGUCCCAUACACAUGAAAUAUAAGAAAACUUAAUAGUCAUUGGAUCUGGUAGAAUGUCAAAAUGUCAUAUCCUUUCUCCAAAGAGGUAUUUUUUUAACAAACAAACAAAAAGGAAAACAAAACCAACGACUCUUUGCCCUCUUAGCCCAUGACCUCUCUGUGGUCGUGGUUAUGUGGGGGUUCUCUCUUCCUCCCUUCACAUACAACUUCUUGAAAGAAUAUUCUCAUUGGUUUUGAGAUCCUGGUGUCUCUGGAUACCAGUGAGUCCUCAUCCCCACCCUCACACCCACCCAGUGACGCCUUUUCUGUUAUCUUUAUCCCUUGCCAUUACACAUUAACCUUGGAAACCUCGCUGGCUUUCUGCCUGCUUCCCUGCCAGCCUGAGGAACCCUUUCUCUUGCCAGACAUUCCUUUCUCAGGAUUUCCCCCUCUAUCGACCAUUCUUUGUUUGAUACUUUAUCUUUAAGCAAACUCAUCCAUUCUUGUUAUUUUACUUAUCUCCUCUACCCGAAGGUCUGGGCCACCAUAAUUUCUCUCCUAAAUUCUUAUCUAUCUCCACCUGGAUUUCCUCAGGCUCAGCAAAGAGUCAAAGUUCAGAGCUGUCUUUACAGGUCACUGCCCUGUCCUCUUUGUUGAAGCCAUUUUGUUUGUAUAUGGUAUAAAUUUUUCCUGGUGGAACAAUCUCUAUACUUAGGCCUUAUCUUAAUCCAAUGAUCGUGUCUGAGCUCUAACGCCUUUCUGGGUUUAAUUGUAAGCUCAAUCAAUUUUAUCUAGGUAUGUUGCCCACACUCACAGCUAGACAGACUAAUGGAAGGGUCUGUAGUACCUCUGUGAUGCUCAUUCUUAUGUUCCCAUGUUAGCUGCUAGAAGCUUUCUGAUAUCAAGCAAGAAGGGAGAAGAUCGGUUGGCAAAUGCCAAUUGAGUCCACAACUUUUUACAGGGAAAAUUUCCAAAAAGCUCCACCUAGAAAUCUUGGCAUAUGUAGAGGAGACCAGAGGAGUGUUACACAACUAUCUUGAUCGACCAAAGACACAGAGAAAUACAGUUAAAGGAAUUUGAGCAUGAUGCUGCUCCAAUAUAUAAUGAUUCUAGUGGCCAAGAGAAAAUUCAUGAUACAUAGAGACAGCUGUUGCACAAUUAACAAUAUCCACAGAGAUCCUCUUCUUUCUUUUCCAUGUUUGCUUACAAUAAACUCCUACUAAGACCAGCAAAUGUAAAUGUAAGUAAAUGAAAAAUUAAAUUGAAUUCCUACUGAAUAUGGUAAUAUGAAUUGAGGCAUUUCCUACCAUUGUCGUUGUCGUCAUCAUCAUCAUCACUGUCUUCCUCCUUGUUAUUGUCAUCAUCAUCAUCCUCAACAACAACAACAUGGCCUCUUACUUAAGGGCACAACUGUUGCUUAGUCUGCUGCUACUAUUUUCCCUGUUCAUUAAGUCACUCAUUCAGAAUAAAAGCACUGAUGAUGGACACCAUGUUACACGCUAUGGAUGAAUGACUAUGACCUUUGUCUUAAGUCUGAUCAUUACACAUAGCAAACACACAUCCAGUUAGCACAGUAUACCAUAGAAAUAUGAAUAGACACUGUGCAGCUCUUCAACAUAAAUAAAUAACCAUGACCUUUCUCUUCAGGGACUUACCGGUUGAGUUGAGCAGCCCAACACAGAAUGAGUGUCUCUCGGUGCAGCACAAUAAGCUACACACUAGAGAUGGGUAAGAGAAUUGUAGAAUCAGAGAGAAAGUCCUGAAAUACACCGGGGAAUGGCUGAGAAGACUUCACUGGAGAGGAGAUGUCAGUAGAGCUGUAUAAUGCUCUACAGCCUAUAAAUAACUGCAUCUAGAAACACGAAUCUCAUAAUCUGGAUAGAAAGGGAAGUCUUGAGAGGAAAACAAAGAAAGAACAUGUAAUAGAAGACCAAGGAACUGCUCAUCGGUCUUUGCGUCCACGGGCAGUUCGGACUUGCACGCCCCAAGGUCAAGUUCAUGGAGUCAGCUGUACUCUGUUCCUGGGCUGACUAUUCCUCACCAACUUUCCUCUACACUGCUGCCUAUGUUUCCUAACCGAAGACCCUUAAAGCUUUGCUAAUUGCUCACUGAACACAGUGACAAGGCCUUCCUAGUUCCCAGCUCAAAUCUUCAAACCGAUGCCUCUCAUGCUUCCUCAUCUCUUUUAGUCCAACACUUAGGAAACUCGUCACCUGUCACCUUUAUGACAUUCCUCUCCUUGCCCCUCCCCCACCCCAGUUUGCUUCCAGUUCCCAGAAUGUUCAUCCUGAAUUAACCUCGCCCUUAUUUCCUCUAUGUAAUUUACGCCUCUCUUCUAUUGCUUUCACGAGGAUUUCGUUUCCUGCAUGGUGACUUGUGUCUCUACUGAGUUGAGACUCUCCUCUUCCCCAAAAGCCAUGGCAUCUCUUGUGUUCUUUACAGAGUGAUAGCCUGUGUUACAGCCACCUGAGAGUUUGUGAGCACUGCCUUUAAAUGUUCCCACUACAAGGCUCCUAGAGAGCUGCCCCAGGAGCCGGCCUUCCUAACAAGUUCCUGGGGUUUGCAGCUGUUGCUGCUGACACAAGGCUGACACAUUUGAGAAACACUACUUGCCAAAAUACAAAGAAGAGUGGAGGUCAAAUGUAGAAUCCUCUGUCUGGGUGUAGCAGAGAAGACAGGUUUUAUAGCGUGCUGUUUAAACGUGGAAAGUCAUGUUUGGUUUCCGCAUCCCUAGCUUAAUCUUUGAUCAAGCAGCUAACCCUUCGAAGUUUUCACUUCCUGGUCAGACAGCUGGGGCCAUCCUUAACUCUGUUAGAGGUUUGUUCUGCAAGGCCAAAUCCAAAUCCAAAAGGGAUCAUGCUACAAAAUGUUCUGGAAAUGCUUGCUACUAAUCCUUACCUAUGUAUUCCACACGUUUCCUUUAAAAGAAAGGGUUUUUUUUUUGUUUUGUUUUGUUUUUUUUGUUUUUUGCCCAGCUACAGCAGUUUAUCUCAAAACAUUUUCUUGGACUUUUGACUAAAGAACAUUUCCUUUGAGAUUAAUGCAAUAGUAAUUUCCAUUUCAUUUGAAGAGGCUUUGAAAAGUAAGGAAUCAGGUACAUCAAAAUAAUUAUUUUAUAAAGGAGCUAGCAUUGAAAAAAAUAUAAUGUAUAAAACCAGGUUGCUGAAGCAAAAUGUCAUCUCCCACUGCUUUGUCAGUCCAAGGCAUUUAGUCGUUGCAGGAACAUUAUAAAACAUAGUUCAAUUUUCUUUAUUGUUACUUUUCUUGGGGGGGGUUGGAGUUAUUUUUUUUAUUAUGGAUUUUAUGAUAAAUAACUGAGCUUCAACAGCACUUUUGAAUUUGCUAGACAUUAAAACAAUAGAGAAAGACCAUCUUAUAAAUUGAAACUCACAUGUGUGAACACUAAAUGCUGGGAUUUGAUUUCUUUGUUUCUAUAGAAACAAAAGAAAAUUGAGAUUAAAAUAAGCUAAAAUGGAAUGUGUUUUAUGAAAUAGAUAAAGGAGCUUAUUUUACUUGUGGGCUGUGCAGUGUGGUAAAAAUUUUUACAUUUAAAAUCCAAGCUGUCUUUGGACCAUUCUGCCUUAUUAUAAGGAAAGGGCCAAUGGAAUGGGGGUUGGGCUGGAGACUCCAAAGUAGAGGUUCAGUGUAGGAUGCCAUGCUGCUAUGGUGAAUAGGUAGUUUGAUAUCAGCAGAAUAGCCAAUCUUUUUGUUGUUUCCUUCUUCUUAGAGACAUUUCAGUGGCUGGCUGGAUAAGGGGCAAUGAAAACAGUCUUCAAUGUAAAAACCAAGGCCAAUAACUUCUGUGGUGUUAAAGUCUUGGAAACAGUUUAGCCAAGACUGUUAUCAGUGAUAAUGAGUCCUUGUGUUGCUAAAAACAGACCAACAGCCAGGUAAUAGUGGUGUAUUUCUUUAGUGUCAGAACUUGGGAAGCAGAGACAGAUAGAUCUUUGUUCAAGGCCAGCUUCAUCUACAGAGAGUUCCAGGACAGCCAGGGUUACACAGAGAAACCCUUUCUUGAAAAAGAAACAACAACAACAACAAAAGAAAACAAACAAACAAAAGUAGUAAAACCAUAACAAAAGACAGACCAGCAGCAGAAUAUAUCAAAGAACCAGCGUUCUCUGUAGCAAUGCAGAAGAAAGAGAACCAAGUGAUGAUGCCCAGGGAAAGAGACCAAGUCUUGUGGGAUACAUGGUGCUGUUUGUGGAGGACUAAAGGGGUGGGGAGAAUCAUCUCAACUCAAGGUCAUGUUCAGGUGCAUGUGUAGUUGGGGUGCUGUCCAUGUGUGUGGAGACCAAAGGGUAACCUCAGAUGUUAUUACUCAGGAAUACUAUUCACUUCGCUCUUUGAGUCAGGGGACUCUAUCUGACAUGGCAUACUCCAGGUAGACUGAAAGAACCCAGAUGCCCCUCAACAGAGGAAUGGAUACAGAAAAUGUGGUACGUUUACACAAUGGAGUACUAUUCAGCUAUUAAAAAGAAUAAAUUUAUGAAAUUCCUAGGCAAAUGGUUGGACCUGGAGGGCAUCAUCCUGAGUGAGGUAACCCAAUCACAAGGGAACUCACACAAUAUGUACUCACUGAUAAGUGGAUAUUAGCCCAGAAACUUAGGAUACCCAAGAUAUAAGAUCCAAUUUGCUAAACGCAUGAAACUCAAGAAGAAGGAAGACCAAAGUGUGGACACUUUGCCUCUUCUUAGAAUUGGGAACAAAACACCCAUGGAAGGAGUUACAGAGACAAAGUUUGGAGCUGUGACGAAAGGAUGGACCAUAUCUGGGGAUCCAUCUCAUAAUCAGCUUCCAAACGCUGACACCAUUGCAUACACUAGCAAGAUUUUGCUGAAAGGAUCCAGAUACUGCUGUCUCUUGUGAGCCUAUGCCGGGGUCUAGCAAACACAAAAGUGGAUGCUCACAGUCAGCUAUUGGAUGGAUCACAGGGCCCCUAAUGGAGGAGCUAGAGAAAGUACCUAAGGAGCUAAAGGGAUCCGCAACCCUAUAGGUGGAACAACAGUGUGAACUAACCAGUACCCCCCGGAGCUCGUGUCUCUAGCUGCAUAUGUAUCAGAAGAUGGCCUAGUCAGCCAUCAGUGGAAAGAGAGGCCCAUUGGUCGUGCAAACUUUAUAUGCCUCAGUACAGGGGAACGCCAGGGACAAGAAGUGGGAGUGGGUGAGUGGGGGAGCAUGUGGGGGACUUUUGGGAUAGCAUUGUAAAUGUAAAUGAAAUAAAUACCCAAUAAUAAUAAUAAUAAUAAUAAUAAUAAUAAAGAAUGUGCUGUCCCUGCCUUUUCAGCAUUAGUUUUACAAGGAUAUAGCUAUGGGUUUGGCUGACCUUUGAAAAAUAGGUUCUGGAUGAUUGAACUUAGUCUUCAUACCGGUACAUCAAAUGCCUUACUGAUUCCGCCCUCUUCCUAGCCCUAUCAAAGAGCUUUUUACACGCAGUGUUUAACAUGCUUGUUUGGCUGGAGUUACUUCAGUGUAAAACUAAUUUAUUUGUUAAAAAUGGUAUGUGUGCCAAUAUGUGUGAAUGGAUUUAGAGAAAUAAAUGCUGGGUUGUUAUAGUAACGGGUAGAACAAUACUAUAGAAACAAUCUAUAGUAGAUGACAUGUGGGUAUUUAGCAUUUGAAGGAUGGGGAGACAGAAAUUCAGAGGUCACCACUGUUAUAUAAGUCAUUAGGAAUUUACAGAAAUACUUAAAAAGGGGUGCUAGUCAGCUUAUAGUUCUAUUACUAUAACAAAGUAUCCAGGAUAGUUAACUAGUCAAUGGAAAAGUUGCAUUCUCUGUCAGAGUUAUAAAGUCCCUAGUAUAUGGCUGACUGCCCUCUGAUGUUUUGGGCCUAUGGUGACGUGAUCUUUGGGAGGACCAUUUCAUUGAGGAAAAUUGCUUAUCUCAUGUCCAAGAAGAACUGGCAUGGGGAGGGUAAGAGGCUGAGAGCCCACAAUUGCCUCAAUUAACUGGACUAGACUUCUUACUAGAGCCAGCUUCUAUAGAUCCCAUUGUCUCACUGUGCUGCCAUUUUGAGGACCAGGCUUUUAAAACUUGGGCCUCUGGAAGAAGUGUAACUUCUGAACUCUGUAGCCAGAGUGUGGACUAAACUGAUUCCAAGGUUCCAUCACUGAUAGUUGGAUAAUAUUAAACACACCCAUGUCUGCUUUCAGAGCCUGUUGAUGCUUUGUCCUUAGUGUCUAAUUCAAAAAUGUUUUCAUGUACUACAAAGAUUCUAAUCAAGUUAUAUAUAAUGACUCUCUAAUUCCACCAAUGACUUGCUGCUGUCAUUUUAUUAAAUUGCAAGUGACUUGAAAAAUAUCUUUGAAGACGUAAAAGCCUAAAAUCAAUAUCUAAGUGAGUGAUAAUAUAAAAAGUAGAAUACUUUACCAAAAGUCAAAACCAGCAUUUGGAAUUAAUUGCUGUAUCUGCCGAUAUUGGGUAAAGGUUUUUUACUGCCUAAACAUUUUUUUCAUGUAAGAAAGGGAAUAUCCAUAGCACAGUAUCACACACACACACACACACACACACACACACACACACACACACACACAGAGA